UGUGAACAAAUUGUAAUGCAUAAAAUAAAUAAAAAAAAACACAUUCAAUGUUUAAUUGUUUGGACCAAUGCAACGGGUAUGCUAUAAUCUAAAGGCUCAUUGCAUUAAAGAAAAGAAAAAAAAAACGAAUGAAUAGUCUUAGAAUGCAUUAAUAGUACUAAAAGAUAAGAAAGCAAUAAUAGUAAAAUAAAAAUAAAAAUAAAAAUUAAAAAGAAGAACACAUGAAUAGUAAAAGAAAGUGAUAUUAAAAAUCACGUGUGCUGGACGUGACAUCUCCAACUUCAAAUGAAAAGAAAUCUCCAUUUUCUUUUCAUUUUCAUUUUUUUCAAGCAAACAAAAUAGAAAAAUGAACUUUAAGCAUCCCU
rnacentral:lncRNA from 1 species